rnacentral:rRNA from 1 species
CAGCCGCCGCGGUAAUACGAAGGGUGCAAGCGUUAAUCGGAAUUACUGGGCGUAAAGCGUGCGUAGGCGGUGAGUUAAGUCUGCUGUGAAAUCCCCGGGCUCAACCUGGGAAUGGCAGUGGAUACUGGCUCGCUAGAGUGUGUCAGAGGAUGGUGGAAUUCCCGGUGUAGCGGUGAAAUGCGUAGAGAUCGGGAGGAACAUCAGUGGCGAAGGCGGCCAUCUGGGACAACACUGACGCUGAGGCGCGAAGGCGUGGGGAGCAAACAGGAUUAGAUACCCCAGUAGUCCCUGUCUCUUAUAC